GACGAACCGAGCGAACGUUAUUCGGAAUCACUGGGCUUAAAGGGCGCGUAGGCGGCUUGCCAAGUCAGGGGUGAAAUCUUUCGGCUCAACCGGAAAAGUGCUUCUGAUACUGGCGGGCUGGAGGGAGGUAGGGGCAGAUGGAACUUCCGGUGGAGCGGUGAAAUGCGUAGAUAUCGGAAGGAACGCCGGUGGCGAAAGCGAUCUGCUGGACCUCUUCUGACGCUGAGGCGCGAAAGCCAGGGGAGCAAACGGG
rnacentral:rRNA from 1 species